UACGGGGGGAGCAAGCGUUGUUCGGAUUUACUGGGCGUAAAGGGCGCGUAGGCGGCCACCGCAAGUCGACUGUGAAAUCUCCGGGCUUAACCCGGAAAGGUCAGCCGAUACUGCGGGGCUAGAGUGCAGAAGGGGCAACUGGAAUUCUCGGUGUAGCGGUGAAAUGCGUAGAUAUCGAGAGGAACACCUGCGGCGAAGGCGGGUUGCUGGGCUGACACUGACGCUGAGGAACGAAAGCUAGGGGAGCAAACAGG
rnacentral:rRNA from 1 species